ensembl:lncRNA
AGGCUCCUUCAACAUAGCAAUGAAACAUUUAUCCUUUUGGAUUUUCAUGCCAAACUUAUAAAUGGCAAAGGAGAUGGCCUUGAAUUUUUGCUUCUUCAGCAUCAUUCAGUUUAAUGAACGUACAGCAUCAUGGAAUUUCUGAGGCAUGGAAGAGUUUUUUUAAGUGGACUUUGCAUCAGAAAACUUCAGACUGUUAUCAGCAUAUUUCAAACUUCUGGGAAGACACCUUUAAAAUUUUGGUUUUAAAACCUACAUGGGCUCCAAGAGCAGGAAGAAUUUAAGGAUCAACUGGAAAGUAACCUGCAUGUGUUUUCAAGAGUAAACUUUGUCAUUUGCAUAAUUGAGCACUGCACAAAUUGAAGGGGCUGAAAUUCUACGAAGACUCAGAAAUCAUGAUGAUUCCUCUCCGGAGAAUGACACCUGGGUAUAUAAGGUUAUUGCAGACUCAAGCUGCAGCAAAAAUUGUUAUCAACCCAUCAGACACAGCACUGCAACGGGCAGCGUUCCUCCUGGGAGUAUUUGGGAUCAGUAUAUCCAGCUACAGCACUCAUCAGCUAACUCAAACAAAGAGAUUUCCCUUGAC